rnacentral:rRNA from 1 species
UACGUAGGGUGCGAGCGUUAAUCGGAAUUACUGGGCGUAAAGCGUGCGCAGGUGGUUUGUUAAGUCAGAUGUGAAAGCCCCGAGCUUAACUUGGGAACUGCGUUUGAGACUGGCAAGCUAGAGUCUGUCAGAGGGGGGUAGAAUUCCACGUGUAGCAGUGAAGUGCGUAGAGAUGUGGAGGAAUACCAAUGGCGAAGGCAGCCCCCUGGGAUAAGACUGACGCUCAUGCACGAAAGCGUGGGGAGCAAACAGGAUUAGAUACCCUGGUAGUCCACGCCCUAAACGAUGUCAACUGGUUGUUGGGCAACUUGAUUGUUCAGUAACGAAGCUAACGCGAGAAGUUGACCGCCUGGGGAGUACGGUCGCAAGAUUAAAACUCAAAGGAAUUGACGGGGACCCGCACAAGCGGUGGAUGAUGUGGAUUAAUUCGAUGCAACGCGAAAAACCUUACCUACCCUUGACAUGUACGGAAGUCUGCUGAGAGGUGGAUGUGCCUGAAAGGGAACCGUAACACAGGUGCUGCAUGGCUGUCGUUAGCUCGUGUCGUGAGAUGUUGGGUUAAGUCCCGCAACGAGCGCAACCCUUGCUAUUAAUUGCCAUCAUUAAGUUGGGCACUUUAAUAGGACUGCUGGUGAUAAACCGGAGGAAGGUGGGGAUGACGUCAAGUCCUCAUGGCCCUUAUGGGUAGGGCUUCACACGUCAUACAAUGGCCGGUACAGAGGGAUGCCAACCCGCGAGGGGGAGCCAAUCUCAGAAAGCCGGUCGUAGUCCGGAUUGUUCUCUGCAACUCGAGAGCAUGAAGUCGGAAUCGCUAGUAAUCGCGGAUCAGCAUGUCGCGGUGAAUACGUUCCCGGGUCU